CUUUUCAUGUGCCGAACCUAAUGUUAAUGAGCUAAGUUUUUUUGUUUCAGUUCAUUUACAUUAGGUUCGGCACAUGAAAAG